rnacentral:tRNA from 1 species
GGAGAGAUGGCUGAGCGGUUUAAGGCGGCGGUCUUGAAAACCGUUGAGGGUUAACGCCUUCCCAGGGUUCGAAUCCCUGUCUCUCCG